rnacentral:rRNA from 1 species
AGCGGCAGGCUUAACACAUGCAAGUCGAGGGGCAGCACGGGUAGCAAUACCUGGUGGCGACCGGCGCAAGGGUGGCGUAACGCGUGAGCAACAUGCCCUAUACAGGGGGAUAAUCCAGGGAAACUUGGUCUAAUAUCCCAUAGUAUUUAGAGGAGGCAUCUUCUAUAAAUUAAAGCUUCGGUGGUAUAGGAUUGGCUCGCGUGACAUUAGCUAGAUGGUGAGGUAACGGCUCACCAUGGCAAUGAUGUCUAGGGGUUCUGAGAGGAAGGCCCCCCCACACUGGGACUGAGACACGGCCCAGACUCCUACGGGAGGCAGCAGUGAGGAAUAUUGGACAAUGGAUGGAAAUCUGAUCCAGCCAUGCCGCGUGCAGGAAGACAGCCCUAUGGGUUGUAAACUGCUUUUAUAUGGGAGCAAUAAGGUCUACGUGUAGACUGAUGAGAGUACCAUAUGAAUAAGCAUCGGCUAACUCCGUG